rnacentral:tRNA from 1 species
UUAGAAACCUAGCUCAGUUGGUAGAGCACGGGUUGUGGGUUCGAACCCCACAUUGGGCAAAA